rnacentral:rRNA from 1 species
AUUGAACGCUGGCGGCAGGCCUAACACAUGCAAGUCGAACGGUAAGAGGAAGCAGCUUGCUGCUUUGCUGACGAGUGGCGGACGGGUGAGUCAUGUCUGGGAAACUGCCUGAUGGAGGGGGCUAACUACUGGAAACGGUAGCUAAUACCGCAUAACGUCGCAAGACCAAAGAGGGGGACCUUCGGGCCUCUUGCCAUCGGAUGUGCCCAGAUGGGAUUAGCUAGUAGGUGGGGUAACGGCUCACCUAGGCGACGAUCCCUAGCUGGUCUGAGAGGAUGACCAGCCACACUGGAACGGAGACACGGUCCAGACUCCUACGGGAGGCAGCAGUGGGGAAUAUUGCACAAUGGGCGCAAGCCUGAUGCAGCCAUGCCGCGUGUAUGAAGAAGGCCUUCGGGUUGUAAAGUACUUUCAGCGGGGAGGAAGGGAGUAAAGUUAAUACCUUUGCUCAUUGACGUUACCCGCAGAAGAAGCACCGGCUAACUCCGUG